rnacentral:rRNA from 1 species
UAGGGAAUCUUCGGCAAUGGACGGAAGUCUGACCGAGCAACGCCGCGUGAGUGAAGAAGGUUUUCGGAUCGUAUAGCUCUGUUGUUAGAGAAGAACGUUGGUAGGAGUGGAAAAUCUACCAAGUGACGGUAACUAACCAUAAAGGGACGGCUAACUACGUGCCAGCAUCCGCGGUAAUACGUAGGUCCCGAGCGUUGUCCGGAUUUAUUGGGCGUAAAGCGAGCGCAGGCGGUUCUUUAAGUCUGAAGUUAAAGGCAGUGGCUUAACCAUUGUACGCUUUGGAGACUGGAGGACUUGAAUGCAGAAGUGGAGAGUGGAAUUCCAUGUGUAGCGGUGAAUUGCGUAGAUAUAUGGAGGAACACCGGUGGCGAAAGCGGCUCUCUGGUCUGUAACUGACGAUGAGGCUCGAAAGCGUGGGGCGCAAACAGG